rnacentral:rRNA from 1 species
AGGGCACCACCAGGAGUGGAGCCUGCGGCUUAAUUUGACUCAACACGGGAAAACUCACCCGGCCCGGACACUGGAAGGAUUGACAGAUUGAGAGCUCUUUCUUGAUUCAGUGGGUGGUGGUGCAUGGCCGUUCUUAGUUGGUGGAGUGAUUUGUCUGGUUAAUUCCGAUAACGAACGAGACUCUAGCCUACUAAAUAGAUCGUCGGCUUACAAACGCCGGCGAGACUUCUUAGAGGGACAGGCGGUGAUUCAACCGCACGAAACAGAGCAAUAACAGGUCUGUGAUGCCCUUAGAUGUCCGGGGCCGCACGCGCGCUACACUGAAGUGAUCAGCGUGCUUUUUCAACCUACUCUGUCAAGAGUGGGGAACCCAAUGAACCUUCUUCGUGAUUGGGAUAGGGGAUUGUAAUUGUUCCCCUUGAACGAGGAAUUCCCAGUAAGCGCGAGUCAUAAGCUCGCGUUGAUUACGUCCCUGCCCUUUGUACACACCGCCCGUCGCUACUACCGAUUGGAUGCUUU